rnacentral:lncRNA from 1 species
GCACUAAAUCAUCCACAUCAUCAAGAACUAUAAGAACUUUUUUUCUUGAGAGCCUACGUCUAUCGAAAAGAGACAAUGUACCAUGAUUACUUGAAUUUUCUGCCCCUAAAAGAUCAGAAAGAAUUUCCUUUUCUACAUCAAACAAUGUGCAUUUUUCUAAUCUUUCCUUAACAUUUGCAACAAAACAUCGGCUUGUAAAAUGAACAGAAAUUCUAUCAAACACUUGUCUAGCAAUGGUUGUUUUGCCGAUACCGCCCAUCCCCCAAUUUCCUACAACUCGUACAUCUGGCGACCCAAGGCAUAACAAUGACUCAACAAUCUUGACUCGUGAAUCAAUUCCAACUAACCCAUCAUCAUAAGCAUCAUUUGGAUACACAAUAUUUAGUUUCUUCAAAGUAUAGCUGACAAUUUCCUCAAUUAACUUGGAGUCAGACCUGGUUAUAUACAUGGAAGGUACGACCAAUCAUCCACUAAAAAUAUAAAAAAAUAGGUAACCAAAUUUAUAAAGAAUACUAACUAGGUUUACAGCUAAAAUAAAAUUCAGGAAUCAUAUAAACAUAAAAUAAUAGAACAAGGACAAUUGUACUUACUUAAUGUUUUGNNN